CGGGACACGUGGUAUCCUGUCUGAAUAUGGGGGGACCAUCCUCCAAGGCUAAAUACUCCUGACUGACCGAUAGUGAACCAGUACCGUGAGGGAAAGGCGAAAAGAACCCCGGCGAGGGGAGUGAAAAAGAACCUGAAACCGUGUACGUACAAGCAGUGGGAGCACGCUUAGGCGUGUGACUGCGUACCUUUUGUAUAAUGGGUCAGCGACUUAUAUUCUGUAGCAAGGUUAACCGAAUAGGGGAGCCGAAGGGAAACCGAGUCUUAACUGGGCGUUAAGUUGCAGGGUAUAGACCCGAAACCCGGUGAUCUAGCCAUGGGCAGGUUGAAGGUUGGGUAACACUAACUGGAGGACCGAACCGACUAAUGUUGAAAAAUUAGCGGAUGACUUGUGGCUGGGGGUGAAAGGCCAAUCAAACCGGGAGAUAGCUGGUUCUCCCCGAAAGCUAUUUAGGUAGCGCCUCGUGAAUUCAUCUCCGGGGGUAGAGCACUGUUUCGGCAAGGGGGUCAUCCCGACUUACCAACCCGAUGCAAACUGCGAAUACCGGAGAAUGUUAUCACGGGAGACACACGGCGGGUGCUAACGUCCGUCGUGAAGAGGGAAACAACCCAGACCGC
rnacentral:rRNA from 1 species